rnacentral:rRNA from 1 species
AUACGUAGGGUGCGAGCGUUGUCCGGAAUUACUGGGCGUAAAGAGCUCGUAGGUGGUUUGUCGCGUCGUCUGUGAAAUUCCGGGGCUUAACUCCGGGCGUGCAGGCGAUACGUGCAUAACUUGAGUACUGUAGGGGAGACUGGAAUUCCUGGUGUAGCGGUGAAAUGCGCAGAUAUCAGGAGGAACACCGGUGGCGAAGGCGGGUCUCUGGGCAGUAACUGACGCUGAGGAGCGAAAGCAUGGGUAGCGAACAGGAUUAGAUACCCUGGUAGUCCAUGCCGUAAACGGUGGGCGCUAGGUGUAGGGGUCUUCCACGACUUCUGUGCCGUAGCUAACGCAUUAAGCGCCCCGCCUGGGGAGUACGGCCGCAAGGCUAAAACUCAAAGGAAUUGACGGGG